AAACAAAAGAAAGUGCAGUGCAGUACACUCAAAAUAUUCCAACAUACUUAUGUAUGUACAUACACCCUGCAAAGCAUAAGGAAUACCAAGUGAGCGUAUUAUCUCCUUUAUUUAUUUAACAUAUGCACAUACAUAUGUAUGUAUAUGUCUAAAAUUACAGUCGUACUUAUUAUUAUACUUGUAAUUAAAAUCCACUUCAACGGCUGAAAUUUUACCAAACACGGUAAAAUAUAUCAAAAUAGUUAUAUAUGUAAAAAUGUAUUGAAGCACAAAACACAAAGAAAAAUUUAAGCAAUUACUAGCGAAAAAUUUCCGGCAAACCCAAAGUAUAUAUUUAUGUACUCAACUAUACUUAUCUAUAAAGACAGCCGUUUUCAAUAGAAACUAUGUAGAAGUGCAUAUUUUCUUACGUAUGAACAUAUGUAUGUACCUGAGAAAACAUCUUCUUUCUAUUCCGUUUUCGCGUCCUCUCUCUAUUGCGAAAGAAUAUCAGCAUACCUCAAUACAAAUCUGCCUAUGCUAUACCCUACAUACAUUGGGUAAAUUAAUUAUUACAAAAUUAUUAAAAAAGUAAACUUUGAUUAGGAAAUUAAAUAAACGGGUUGGGGAAAUUAACAAACAAAACAAAUACAUAAUAUAUUAAAAUCUAAAAAAAAAAAUAAACAAAAACGCGCUUAGCAUAAAAAAAAUAAUUGAACAUAAACACUACAUAUUCGUAUACACAUAGUUACAUAUUCAAAGUCCACAUUGGCAAUUAUUCGGCAAUACCUCUUCUUCUUUGGCAAACAAAAACAAAUAGGUUUGCGUACAAAAAGCGAAUUGAUCUCUCUAACGAGCUCUUAAUUGCUUACGAAAAAAUCAUAAUCAUAAACACAGAAACAAUUCGUGCAUACUUACAUAUGUAAAUAGCGCAUUGAUCUCUUCAGCGAGCUCUCAAUUGCACAAAACAUAACCCAAUAAACCUUUCCAUAAGCGAACGGCAAAAGAGUUAUAGAAUAAGCUUAUUGUAAUGAUUUUUCGAAAACAUUUAAUAAGCAUAUUUAUGAAAGGUUUAUUUAAUUAUAAAAUAAUAAUACUUUUAUAAACGUGCUUGAAAAAUGAUUCACAUAGUAACAACAUAACAAAUAUGAUUGCAAUUGACUUAAACCUCGCUAUAGUUUGUAGCUCUGGUGUGUACAUGAAACUUACAAAAAACUUACGCUCGCUACAGUUUUGCAACAACACUUGCAACAGACUUAGGCUCAAUACAGUUUUCAAAGCUUACUGUUUCGUUUACCGUUAUUCUGUCACGCCGUUGUUAGCGUCUUCACAUUUUUCAUUGUCAUUGUAAAAUUUCAUCCGAAGUGAAUAAGCAUUUCAUGAUAGCGGACAAACAGAAUAAUAAUUUGAACAACAUCUUUCAACAGACACAAAAUUUAUCUACACUCCAAACAGUAUAUAACGAUUCGAUUAAUGGAAAUAAAAUCACUUUACAAGUUGAAGCUGUGUCAUUUGAUGAAAUAUUUUGAAAAUUUGCUGCGACUCUUGAACCCAUGUUCAUCAGAUUGACGAACGAGAUAACUUUAUUGCGUCAGGAGGUCAAAUCUCUGCGUAAGGAAGUCAGUGUUAAAACAGGACAGAUAUAUAUAUACAGAAUUGGUCAUCCCACAACAGCCAUUUCAAAAAAUGGAGGAUUUUUUAAAUUUUGGAAAACAGCUACAGGAAGAUCCAAAUUUGUUUGCUUCAUUCGAAAUGGCACUCAAAACUGUUGGAAAAAAACCCAACUUUACCAAAACUUGUUGGAGAAAAUUAUUGGUCGAUGAACUGGCGGAAAAACUGUGUUGGAAAGGGACAGAGCAAAAAAAAGGUGUUCGCAGCCUAAGUACAUCGAAAUCAAUUAGAAAUGCCGCAAUUUCUAUUGGAAUCGGAGAGGAUGCAUUCGUCCGGACCACAAAGUCUUUCUUCCAAUUUGCCAAAAACCGCCAAGAAAGCAAAGAAAAAUAUAAAUCAAAAAAAAUUAGCUCAACUGUAAUCUCAAAUGAAAUGAAAUAAAUGAGAAAUAACAAUACAACAAUUUAAAAACGCUUACUAUUUUAAAUUUUUUUCUAGUUUCACAUAAUGUCCGCCAAUAAAUCAUACACAAACAACUCCCAAGAACCAAUAGCCCAAACAAAUACGGAUGGAGUGCAUUUGCAAUUUGAAACAUCCAUCAACCAAAACGGAAAUAACCACACUGGAUCCCACAUUUUUAGAAGCAAUUCAAAGCACCAUUGAUGCAGCUGUAUCCAAAUCUAUGGGAAGAAUCGUCGAGGAGGUAAGAAGCUUGCGGCGAGAUAUCGCAGAGUUGAGGAAUAGCAGAGACAAUGUUCCAUCAAAAAAGAUUAUGCCAGCGGAACCUUUAAACACAGUGGAGCAAUUUAUGGAAUUGGAGAGUUUACUCCAGAAGGAUGAAGAAUAUGCUAAAUUUAAAUCGGAACUUAUGCAAAAUAUUAAAUAUACAGGAGCGAAAUUCGUCAGAAGAGCUUGGCGCUCAUUGGUAUCCGAUGAAUGUGCUCAACAUUUUGCUUGGAGUGGAACGUCAGACAAAAACCUGUCCGCGUCUUAAAAGUAUCUAUGGCUAUCCGCCAUUCGGCUACUUAAUAAUAAAACUUAAUAAACUUUAUAUGUGUACUUAUAUACUUAUAUAUUAUAUUAACUUAAAUUUCAGAUGUCUUCUUACAUGAAGUGAAGGGCAAUGACACUGAAUAUAUAAGUGGCACCAAGACGAUUUUUCAGUUUGCCAAAAAUAGACAAAAACGGAAGGACCAAAAUGCAGCAAAUUAAUUAUUUUACCUAACUAUUUUUCUAUCAUUUCAUUUUUAAAGAAUGUUUUAUAAAUUUUAAUUUUUAGUAUAAGUAAAUAUGUAUAUAUAAUAAAUAAUAUUAAAUGAAUUAAAACUAAUAAAGAAAAUAAUGAUAUAUCUAAAAAAUCA